AGCCACACCACAUUGAAACACCAGUUCCCAUAUGAUCACCAAAGUUAAGCAAUAUUGAGCCUGGCUAAUACUUAGAUGAAUGACUGCUUGUGAAUACCAGGUACUGUAUG